GUACGGGGGGGGGCAAGCGUUGUUCGGAAUUACUGGGCGUAAAGGGCUCGUAGGUGGCCAACUAAGUCAGACGUGAAAUCCCUCGGCUUAACCGGGGAACUGCGUCUGAUACUGGAUGGCUUGAGUUCGGGAGAGGGAUGCGGAAUUCCAGGUGUAGCGGUGAAAUGCGUAGAUAUCAGGAGGAACACCGAUUGCGAAGGCAGCUCGCUGGAACGUUACUGACGCUGAGACGCGAAAGCGUGGGGAGCAAACAGG
rnacentral:rRNA from 1 species